CUGUGAGCUCGAUGAGUAGGGCGGGACACGUGGUAUCCUGUCUGAAUAUGGGGGGACCAUCCUCCAAGGCUAAAUACUCCUGACUGACCGAUAGUGAACCAGUACCGUGAGGGAAAGGCGAAAAGAACCCCGGCGAGGGGAGUGAAAAAGAACCUGAAACCGUGUACGUACAAGCAGUGGGAGCACAGAGCAAUCUGUGUGACUGCGUACCUUUUGUAUAAUGGGUCAGCGACUUAUAUUCUGUAGCAAGGUUAACCGAAUAGGGGAGCCGAAGGGAAACCGAGUCUUAACUGGGCGUUAAGUUGCAGGGUAUAGACCCGAAACCCGGUGAUCUAGCCAUGGGCAGGUUGAAGGUUGGGUAACACUAACUGGAGGACCGAACCGACUAAUGUUGAAAAAUUAGCGGAUGACUUGUGGCUGGGGGUGAAAGGCCAAUCAAACCGGGAGAUAGCUGGUUCUCCCCGAAAGCUAUUUAGGUAGCGCCUCGUGAAUUCAUCUCCGGGGGUAGAGCACUGUUUCGGCAAGGGGGUCAUCCCGACUUACCAACCCGAUGCAAACUGCGAAUACCGGAGAAUGUUAUCACGGGAGACACACGGCGGGUGCUAACGUCCGUCGUGAAGAGGGAAACAACCCAGACCGCCAGCUAAGGUCCCAAAGUCAUGGUUAAGUGGGAAACGAUGUGGGAAGGCCCAGACAGCCAGGAUGUUGGCUUAGAAGCAGCCAUCAUUUAAAGAAAGCGUAAUAGCUCACUGGUCGAGUCGGCCUGCGCGGAAGAUGUAACGGGGCUAAACCAUGCACCGAAGCUGCGGCAGCGACGCUUAUGCGUUGUUGGGUAGGGGAGCGUUCUGUAAGCCUGCGAAGGUGUGCUGUGAGGCAUGCUGGAGGUAUCAGAAGUGCGAAUGCUGACAUAAGUAACGAUAAAGCGGGUGAAAAGCCCGCUCGCCGGAAGACCAAGGGUUCCUGUCCAACGUUAAUCGGGGCAGGGUGAGUCGACCCCUAAGGCGAGGCCGAAAGGCGUAGUCGAUGGGAAACAGGUUAAUAUUCCUGUACUUGGUGUUACUGCGAAGGGGGGACGGAGAAGGCUAUGUUGGCCGGGCGACGGUUGUCCCGGUUUAAGCGUGUAGGCUGGUUUUCCAGGCAAAUCCGGAAAAUCAAGGCUGAGGCGUGAUGACGAGGCACUACGGUGCUGAAGCAACAAAUGCCCUGCUUCCAGGAAAAGCCUCUAAGCAUCAGGUAACAUCAAAUCGUACCCCAAACCGACACAGGUGGUCAGGUAGAGAAUACCAAGGCGCUUGAGAGAACUCGGGUGAAGGAACUAGGCAAAAUGGUGCCGUAACUUCGGGAGAAGGCACGCUGAUAUGUAGGUGAAGUCCCUCGCGGAUGGAGCUGAAAUCAGUCGAAGAUACCAGCUGGCUGCAACUGUUUAUUAAAAACACAGCACUGUGCAAACACGAAAGUGGACGUAUACGGUGUGACGCCUGCCCGGUGCCGGAAGGUUAAUUGAUGGGGUCAGCGCAAGCGAAGCUCUUGAUCGAAGCCCCGGUAAACGGCGGCCGUAACUAUAACGGUCCUAAGGUAGCGAAAUUCCUUGUCGGGUAAGUUCCGACCUGCACGAAUGGCGUAAUGAUGGCCAGGCUGUCUCCACCCGAGACUCAGUGAAAUUGAACUCGCUGUGAAGAUGCAGUGUACCCGCGGCAAGACGGAAAGACCCCGUGAACCUUUACUAUAGCUUGACACUGAACAUUGAGCCUUGAUGUGUAGGAUAGGUGGGAGGCUUUGAAGUGUGGACGCCAGUCUGCAUGGAGCCGACCUUGAAAUACCACCCUUUAAUGUUUGAUGUUCUAACGUUGACCCGUAAUCCGGGUUGCGGACAGUGUCUGGUGGGUAGUUUGACUGGGGCGGUCUCCUCCUAAAGAGUAACGGAGGAGCACGAAGGUUGGCUAAUCCUGGUCGGACAUCAGGAGGUUAGUGCAAUGGCAUAAGCCAGCUUGACUGCGAGCGUGACGGCGCGAGCAGGUGCGAAAGCAGGUCAUAGUGAUCCGGUGGUUCUGAAUGGAAGGGCCAUCGCUCAACGGAUAAAAGGUACUCCGGGGAUAACAGGCUGAUACCGCCCAAGAGUUCAUAUCGACGGCGGUGUUUGGCACCUCGAUGUCGGCUCAUCACAUCCUGGGGCUGAAGUAGGUCCCAAGGGUAUGGCUGUUCGCCAUUUAAAGUGGUACGCGAGCUGGGUUUAGAACGUCGUGAGACAGUUCGGUCCCUAUCUGCCGUGGGCGCUGGAGAACUGAGGGGGGCUGCUCCUAGUACGAGAGGACCGGAGUGGACGCAUCACUGGUGUUCGGGUUGUCAUGCCAAUGGCACUGCCCGGUAGCUAAAUGCGGAAGAGAUAAGUGCUGAAAGCAUCUAAGCACGAAACUUGCCCCGAGAUGAGUUCUCCCUGACUCCUUGAGAGUCCUGAAGGAACGUUGAAGACGACGACGUUGAUAGGCCGGGUGUGUAAGCGCAGCGAUGCGUUGAGCUAACCGGUACUAAUGAACCGUGAGGCUUAACCUUACAACGCCGAAG
rnacentral:rRNA from 1 species